GACAGAGGGGGCAAGUGUUGCUCGGAAUUACUGGGCGUAAAGGGCGCGUAGGCGGGAUGGCAAGUCGGUCGUGAAAUCCCUCGGCUCAACCGAGGAACGUCGAUCGAUACUGCUGUUCUUGAGGAUUGCAGAGGAGACUGGAAUUCCCGGUGUAGCGGUGAAAUGUGUAGAGAUCGGGAGGAACACCGGUGGCGAAGGCGGGUCUCUGGGCAAUUCCUGACGCUGAGGCGCGAAAGCGUGGGGAGCAAACGGG
rnacentral:rRNA from 1 species